GACAAUUUGUUUUAUAUGUAUGGAACAGCUCUGUUAGCAACAUUCCUGCUAAUAACACUGCUGAGGUUUAAUACUUUGUUUCCUCUUCCAGGAUAUGAUGAUGUUUCAGAGACAAACUUGAGGUCUUAUAGUGUUCAUUCUGCUAAACAUGUGCAAGAGAACCGUCCUGUGCCCAUUCGCAGAAAAAGAAGCAUUGAGGAAGCCAUCCCGGCUGUCUGCAAAACACGGACGGUGAUAUAUGAGAUACCUCGGAGUCAGAUUGAUCCCACCUCGGCCAACUUCCUGAUAUGGCCGCCGUGCGUGGAGGUGAAGCGCUGCACUGGCUGCUGCAACACCAGCAGUGUGAAAUGCCAGCCCUCACGGAUACAUCACAGAAGUGUCAAGGUGGCAAAAGUGGAAUAUGUUAGAAAAAAGCCAAAAUUAAAAGAAGUUCUGGUGAGAUUAGAAGAGCAUAUGGAAUGCACCUGUACAUCAACAAAUACUAAUUCAGAUUAUAGAGAAGAAGAAACUGGAAGGCCUAGGGAAUCAGGUAAAAAACGGAAACGAAAAAAGUUAAAACCAACAUAAAACCUACUGGAACUAUUUGAUAUUCAGAUUAACAGGUAUUUAUUGGGAGUAGUAUGAUAGAAGCAAAGAUUUUCUAAAAUUCAACCUUAAAAGUGCGCAUGUAAACUCAAUCAGAGCAGCAUUUAGAGCUUCUUGCCCCAGAUGUAAGGUGAAAAUAAGCUAGAAAAAAAACUUCUCUCUGGGACAUGGAUGUACAUGGUUUGUUACAUUCCUGAACCUACUAUGUAUGGUGCUUAUUGACUGUAUACUUUAUUUGUUCUCCUGUGUGGAAAAAAAAAAAAAACUGGCUCAAAAGAACACUUAAUGAGAACAAAGAGACAAUGUACAUUUGUUUAAUGUGACAUCAAAGCAAGUAUUGUAGCACUCUGUGACACAAUAGGAAGCUUCCCUGUCCAAAAAAGAAA